rnacentral:misc_RNA from 1 species
UUUCCGUAGGUGAACCUGCGGAAGGAUCAUUACUGAGUGAGGGCCCCUCGGGGUCCAACCUCCCACCCGUGUUUAACGAACCUUGUUGCUUCGGUGGGCCCGCCUCACGGCCGCCGGGGGGCAUCUGCUCCCGGGCCCGCGCCCGCCGAAGCCACCUGUGAACGCUGUCUGAAGUAUGCAGUCUGAGACAAUUAUUAAAUUAAUUAAAACUUUCAACAACGGAUCUCUUGGUUCCG